CGGGUGAGUAAUACAUCGGAACGGGUCUUCUAGUGGGGGAUAACUGCCCGAAAGGGCGAGCUAAUACCGCAUGAGACCUGAGGGUGAAAGCGGGGGAGUCGCAAGACCUCGCGCUGGAAGAGCGGCCGAUGUCCGAUUAGCUAGUUGGUGAGGUAAAGGCUCACCAAGGCGACGAUCGGUAGCUGGUCUGAGAGGACGACCAGCCACACUGGGACUGAGACACGGCCCAG
rnacentral:rRNA from 1 species